GUAUAGGAGUUCUUCAAAAAUCCCUUGCUUGGUUUCCAUCCCUUCAGAAGAGAUUUGAAUGCAACUCAUCCAGCCUUGCUGUUGCACAAGACUAUGUACCAGGUGCUCAUUACUUGCCUUUAGUCACAGCCCUUCUUGUCAGGGAGAAGACAUGAGGUAAAGGAUGAAUAGAACAUCAGAAGAUAAUUCUGUUUCCUUCAUAUUUUAUGAUAUAAAAAGAAUUGCUAUUUACACUUUAGAGGUGAUGAAAUAUUUUAUCUGAUGGAGCUCUACAGGGAAGAUUCUUGUUGUUCAAAAGGUCCGCUUUGCUUUCAAGGACAUCAAGAACAGAUAUUGCUAUUAAGUAUAUCAUAUUUGGCAUACCUGAAAUACACAUUACUCAUUUGUAUCCACUGUAUUUUUUCCUAAAUAAACACUGCAGGAUUUAUAUAGCACUAUAGCUCUUUGUUUGCAAAUAUGUUUGUAAAUUCUUAACCAAUCUGCUAUAAAGAAAAUCCAUUAAAAUAAGUGGUUUGCAUUGCACCACAGACUUGCCCAGUGCUGCAUGGAAAGCCUGUAUUCUGAGGGUUAGUAUGGAAGAGGAAAUCUCCAACAGUUUAAUGUUUCUUAUUCAUGUUUAGUUCUGUGGAGAGAUGAGCUAGUUGUCUGUUAGCUGAUGUGGAGCAACUUUGGUACACUUCUAAUAUUGUUUCAGGAUCAUGGGCUUAAAAGUUACUUGAAUGGUUGAAACCACAAUGAGCAGUUAAUGUCAGAGAAUUAAUGUGAGUGGGCCAUUGAUUCUGAACAUGUAUUAGCAGCUUAAGGAGGAUUUAAAUGUCACUGUGUUUUUUCACAGCAGUUACAAAUGUGUUCAGCUUGCUUAUCAGACCUGUGAAACUGUUUCUUCAGAUUUUUUCAGAAUGUAGAAAUCUAAAAGACAACUGUCUUGGUCUUGCUCUCCAACUUAGCUAAAACUUUCCAAGAUCUCUCAGUGUGGACCAAGAUCUAAGCUGUUUGCUCAUUUUACUUGAAAAGACUUCAUUUCCUGAUAAGUGUUUAAGAUGCUGUCUGGUCUCCUUCUUGGCAGUAUAGGAAAAUUAUUCAGUAGAAUUAAGGUAACACGUGAUUUACUUGCAUGUGUGUGAUAUUAUAAAAUUUAACCAAGGGGAGCAGCCACUGUGUUUUCCUUGCACAACACAGGAACACAUUUUUCAUAAAAAGUGUAUCUCAAGUUUCACAAAUCAGUUACAUAGCACAGAUAUUGUUACUCUAGCAUUUUAUUUAGAUAUUUUGUCACUGGUAUUUGGAAUAGACUUAGAUUUUAAAAUAGUUCCUUUUAUUGUUAGAGUUGUUGUUAUAGAAACAUGGAGGGUAUCACCCUGAGAUUUAAAAUUCAUCAUGUCAAUAAUUGAGUCAAACCUGAAAGAACUCAAAAUAUAAAUUGGAAAGAAAAGACUGAACAGAUUUGUUAUGUAAGUUCACACAGGAUUUGGCUCUUAACCAUGAGUUUAUUAAGAACAUAGGAGGAAAUAAAGUAAUGACUGUUCAAAUCUCCAGAUGCCACAAAACUUAAAUACUAAGGAGCCACUUAAUCAGAGCAAGAUUAAUUGCUUGCUUAGGAGCUGUAAGCACUUUGCAUUUCACUCUGGCCUAAAGCAGACCUGUGUUUUUAGGAGGAUAGCGGUUUGAGAACAUACUUAGCAAGUUGAAAUAUUUGUGAUAGGAAAUGCUGACUUUGAAUGGUUUCUGGAGAUGAUGUGCAUUCUCAACUGAGCAUGAAAUUUCAGCGUGCCUUGUGGCCAAAAGGACCAUGGAGAUCCUGAGGUUAGAAAUGGGAAUACUGCCAGGGAAGAAAUACUGCUGUCUGUAUUUAGCUUUGGUGUAAGCUUUUGGAAGAAUAUUAUGCUCAAUUUCAGUAGUCACGAUUUUCAGUAAUGCUGGGAAGCUGGACAGAAAAGUCAUGAGAGCAAUAGAAGAGAGACUCAAAACCCAGAAUCUGAUUAGUUUAUGAAAGAAGAAACAGCCUAGAUGAACCAUCUUUGGAGAAAAUAAAGAGCUAAUCCACCUAGCAGAGGAAGAGUGAUCCAGCAAGUCUAAGCAAAAGGACAUGUUACAAAAAGAGAUAAAAGUACGUAGCAGAACAGUAAAGGCAUCCCUAGUCUGGACAUAUUAGACAAUUUCCUGAAAAAAUGUGAUUUGAUAGAAAGAGGACUAAUUCAGACAAGUCAGACCCAUGUUACAAAAGAGGUCAAACCAAACAAUCACAAGUUGUGUUUGGCUGCCCCAGGAGUAACUUGCCUUUAACAAAAGCAUGAACAGCAUUUCACAGAGAUUUCAGAGAUAGAGAUUAUGAACUAAUUUCAGUUCUGCUGUGGUCUGAUCAGUACACAGAGCAAAAUAGGCUACUGGAUAUGUUUAGCCUUGUUCUUUCUGUCUCUAGAGAAUUGCAAAUGGGCUACUAAUGCAUAUCCUGACUUGACUCAUGGCUAUUAGGAUAUGGCUCAUUAGUUUUAAAUUUCAUUAUACAAUACGCCUUGUGAUGGUUUGGGCUAUAUAUACUUGCAUUAUGAAAAUGAGGUGAACAGCACAGGAGGAAAGUGUCUGGGUAAAUGUCAGCUCUAUUGAAUGUAGCUAAUUAUUGUUUAUUUUCUCAAGCUUUUAAAAGUUGGAGAUCUUUUGAAAUUUAUUAGAUGCUUUUGGGCCCCUUUUUUCUCAGCUUUUACAAGCAACCUGCAAUCCAAUGGCCAUUUAAAAUUCAUUUUCAGCUCAUAGUAAGACUUAUAUGACAAAUGGAAAAAUCCAAUGGUUCCUUUUUAUAGUUAAACUUGAACUUUUAUAUACCAAUUAAAGCUUAGAGAAGGUAAAACGUACUAAUAGGUACUGCUCUAGCAACAUAUCUUGAUUUAAAUGUAUUUUUUCAUUACAUUUUAAACUAAUUCACUAAAUUAUAUCUAAAUAGAGCAGGCAUUUAGUGGACUUGUUUUCUAAGUAUAUGUGGCAAUCUGAUUCUAUUUAAAAUGCUAAUAAAUGCAUCCCAUCUCCUAAUGAAACUAGUGCUCUCUGCAUAAUUAAUUAGCAUUUAAUACAGAUGAGCCAUAUUCACAGUAUUUUUCUACCAGAAAGGUUAAUAAAAGAAUUUGAUGCAGUUUUGAAACACCACAAGAGCGGCUUAUUUCUGUGAAACCAUUUUUUUUGCAAGUAAAAUUUUAGUGAAAUUUACCUGGAAUCAUUGUUCCAUACAGCUUUUAUCCACAAGGUGGCAUUCCUAACAGGAGUUUGAUAGACAUGGUCCCUUGCAGUUUUUGAAGAGCUCUGAGAGGCAGUCAUAAGCAUUUGUAAUAUUAUAUGAGCUUUUUAUGAUUUCAUUUUUAUAAAGUGUAAUUAAGAGUAAUUUAAGAAACCUUAUUUAUAAUUAGGUAAAUACUCAUUGAUGUGUGGAGUAUCCAGAAAUACAAAAUGGUUUCAGGUUACAAAACAGCAUAUUCAUUCAUGGCAUUAUAUGCUACUAGACACUUUUCAACUGUAAAGCUGGAAUCAAUUUUGCUUUAGUGAAAGAGUAUAAAAUAAUAAUUUAAAAAUUCUUUAAGUUAAGAGCAUGAAUAAUACCAUGGUCUUGUAUGCAAGCCCCAGUGUUUGGUGUUUUCAACAUGAUGCAGCAUAUGGAGCUUGUAGUGAGUUCUGUGUUAAGGAAGGGCAGAUAACAGUGUUAAUGGGGAAAAGCAGUAUAAAUCAUCUGUAGGGGAUGAUUUUUCAUAGUUUAAUGUUACAAUGACCAAGCAACUUAUUUUCAUAUGCCUGUCAUCCAGGUUGUUAACGGAGCCAGCGAGCAGCUCUGCUUUUCUUCAGGCUUUAUAUCUUUUUCAGCUUCUUGUAGUCUUUGUAUGCUAAAUUCAAAUACCUCGUUACUCUUUUUCUUUAAAUACAAGCAUGAAGGAAAUAGAAUAUAAUCUGCUAAACCAAUACAAGUGCACUAGAUUUUAUAUAGCAGGGAUGUGCAUAUUAUACUUUUCUUCCCCAUGGUUAAGGUCCUGAUCUUACUUUGCUUUUUUGCUGAUUCUGUAAGAUCAGACCUUAGCUAAAUAAUCAUUUAUAUUUCCAUUCUAGCUGGUGCCCUACUUGCAUUUUGGUUUGCAAAAAAAAGGCCUAACCGAAGGUUUGUGCUGAAGCUGUAAUCCAAUGUAAAUUGUGGAAUUUUUUCCAAGUCUAUUUUGAGGCAACAAAAAGGAAUAUGCGUUGUUUGGUUUUUGAUUUAUUGUUUUGUAAUAGCAAAACUUCUGUGGAGUCUUUUUCUAAUGCAUGUGUACAUUUGCUGCUAAUCCCUCUGCUCCCUGUGCUGACCCCCACUGAUGCCUCAGACCUCUGGGUUUGGUUCCUUUCACUUAACACAGCUGAAAGGACAGAGCAGUGGCUGCACCAUGGCUGACACUAAUGACAGUCUUUGCUGAGGUAGUGGGCACUCUUCUGACAUUAAGCAGAUGUUCUUUUCCCUAACAUUCUGUUGUACGUCUAUCAUCUCUCAAAGAUGGCUCUGCAAAACAGAAUAUGAAUUCCUGUUCACUGAAAGGAACUGUCAGUCAGAAAACCCCACUUUCAGAAUGAUCAAGCUGGUAGAACCUACGUGCUGGUUGAAUCUGGCAACAAGGACUCUAGAGGCAAACCUUCUGAGUUGGUAGUAUCUCAUGCUGACUGCCAGUAAAAUUUGAGGGCCUGAACAUCUCCCACAUGCUGCAAAUUUUAAAGAAAUGUGGUGAAAAUUACUAUUUCCAGGAUGUGGAAAUGGCCAGACAAAGAAAGUUAUACAUAAUAAUUAUGAAGUGUUAAUGAGGAAGUAAUUGAUUUAUUGUUGUUGCCUUUCAGCUUAAGCUACACACUGAAUUUUCUUUUUAGUAGUUGGGCAUAGCACUAGGUGAGUAAAUGAGGGCAACAUUCCUCUGAGAAGAGCAAUAAAUCUGUCCCACAGAGGAGGUUUACAUAUAGGAAAAACAAAUGUACAAAAAAAAAACAAAUGGAAAGAAACAUUCUCUGCUGUAGUGGCUGCCACGUGGAAAGGGCUUAUGGUCCAUAGAUAGAACUGUACACAGCUGUGCAAGGGAACAGGUCGGUCAAGGUAAGGGCAGGGUUCAGGGUGCCCAAACUUGCUGUAAUGUGUAGGGUGUGAUGGACAUCACCAGAAGAAAUCAGUAGUCUGGAGCAUCGCUGAUGUUGCUUCUGGGACAUCUCAUGAUGUUGGAUGAGAAGGAUAUGUACUCCAACUCUCAGAAACGGGGGUUGCUGAAUUGUCCUUUUGCCUAAGGGUUAGGCAAAAGGACAAUCUCAGUUAUAUGACAGUGACUGUAAGUUCACAUAACCCAGCACUUGCAGGUAACACUGUCAGAAAAACCAGCUGUACUGACUGCAGACAGAUAAUAGUCCUGAUACUUCAUGAUGGAUCUGCAAAUUGCUUUGAUAGUACAAAGCACGUCAGGGGCUAAUUUGAUGCAGUUUAUUGUUUGCAAGAGGUGGAUUAUAAAUGUUUGGAAUUGCAUCUUAUGUAACUGCUGCUGGAUAAGCAUACGUAAAAGUGUGAACUGGGAAAGGAAAAUGUGAUACUGGGAACUGUAACCACAAUAUUAUCACUUCCCAUAUGUAACAAACUCAUGCCUAGGGCAAGGAAGCACAAUUACUGACAGAAGCUGUGUUUGCUCAUGCAGGUGAUUUAUUGUUCUAAGUGAUUUAUCACUCUGGCUAACAUUUUUUGAUGAAAGACUUUUCUGGAAUAAUUGUACUACAAAGGAAAUUUGGAAUUGUUUACCUUCAAUAGAUGACCAGAUCUGCCUAUUAAAAAUGUUACAUUUAUAAAGUACUUUCAUGUGGGUUUUAAACUGGUGGAAGACAAAGGGUCAAGGUUUGCUUCCCCAAUUUAGUCACAUAAUUUCUUUCAGUCUCUCCCUUUCACUUUGUCAGUCUCAGAAAUCUACAACUACACAUGUGAGAAACUUAUCAGAGACUUAAAUAUUUAAUGUACUUCCAAAUUGUAUUAUUUUACUUUAUCUGUUAUCAAAAGCAUAUGCUGGGUUCUCUGAAUUUAUAUUGGGCGCCAAUGAUACACUGAUGAUUUCUGAAAAUGUAAAAACUGUUCACACUUCCUUUACAACAGGAAAAAAGAUGUUACAUUUUCAAACUGUUAAAACUUGCUUUUAUGUCCUGAUUUCAGGAGGUGUGCAGCACCUGAAUUGCCAACACCUUGUUCUUUGUGCUCCUAGGUCACUGAUGUUUGUUGUGUGCAAGGAAUAUCAUGCUUGCUGGAUCAAUGUGAGAGAUCUUAACUGGUGCAUCUCAGAUCAUGUGUUGAAAGAAAUGUGCAUCCCAGUGAAGAAGAAAUCCCUGUGGCUACCACUCUGCUGCAUCAUCACGUCCAGAUGGGAUCUGUUGUCCUUCCUACUCAAAGCCAGUUUGAUGUCACAGAGGGACCACACGACUUCCCUGAGCUCUGCUGUCAGGUUCACGGCUUCUGCAGCCCAGGGCUCAGCUGGCCUUGACCCUGGGCUGGUUUUGUGCAGCUCUGUUGCCUGACCUUGGUUCACUGUCACUGAGGAAGCCGUCACUGAGCUCUGAGAGUCUGUAAACUGAAACUGUGCAAGAUAAGAAAAGUAAAAACAAGCAGAACUGAAUGCGCUGAGCUGGAAAUUGUCUUGGGGACUGGGAACAAAUAAUGACAUGGAAUCUAAAAAUCUAAGGGAGAAAGCAAAGGCUUAGAAAAUGGCACCUCUGCAACUGUGAGGACUUGUACUGAUUUACUGGGGUAUUUUGACAUGAAUGAAAGACAUUUCUUAUUAAA